rnacentral:rRNA from 1 species
AUACGGAGGGUGCAAGCGUUGUUCGGAAUCACUGGGCGUAAAGGGCGCGCAGGCGGUUUGGUAAGUCAGAUGCGAAAGCCCACGGCUCAACCGUGGAAGUGCAUUUGAAACUGUCAGACUUGAGUACUAGAGGGGAAAUUGGAAUUCCCGGUGUAGAGGUGAAAUUCGUAGAUAUCGGGAGGAAUACCGGUGGCGAAGGCGACUUUCUGGCUAGAUACUGACGCUGAGGCGCGAAAGCGUGGGUAGCAAACGGGAUUAGAAACCCCAGUAGUCC